GCAAGCGCAAGGUCGUGAGUUCAAUUCCCAGUACCGAAAAAGAAAGAAAGGAAGGUGAUAAGAAAAGACUGCUGUGGUGCCAGGACCUAACAGCAGAGCUGUAUUUCCUCCUAGGACCCCAGGAAGGAAAUGGGGUCGUUACAGAGGCGGCGAGGUGCCAGGGCCCACCUGUUGCGUGGGGGCGGGCACCUGGCGCCGAGUGUACCGGGGCGGUACGUGCCUAUGUACGUGCGUGGGUGUGCGCACACGUGUACUCAGGCUUCGUGUGCAGCGGCCAUGCGUGCGUUCGUGUGCGGUGCGCGCGCGUGUGUCCCGCGUGUGCACGGGCGUGGCGGCGGCGGCGGCGGGCGCGCGACCUGGCCACGGUAGUGCGUGCCCGUCGCUCUGCGCGCCCGCCCGCCGGAGCGCAACAUCGCCUCCGGCCAGGAGUGUGCAUGCGUGGGGACCAGCAUGAGGCCAAGACACCUCAAGACACUCCCCAGGGGCCGAGCAAGGGCCAGUGCUGUGCCCUGGGACUUCCUGGCCUCCAGAACUGCGAGCCAAACAAUCCUCUUCAGAAACUACCCAGUGUCAGAACCGCUGGUGCCACGUGACGUGCUGUGAGGACCAGGAAGCAGACUCUCUCCCAGCCACGGACCCUCAUGCCUGCGAGUGCCAGUGUCCUGCUGGAGUCAGGCUCUCUGAACUCAAGGCCCAGCCGGGCCUGCUCAAGGCUGCGUCCCUAGCCCCUAGAACAAGGCCCAGGACACUGGAUCCCCACAUGCACCGCGCACGCUCUACUCCCAACACAAAAUAGCCGUUGUUGGGGAAGUGGCCAAACCCAGCAACGCCUUCUGUUCCCCUCACCUGCGGCGGCACUGUACAUGGCUUUUCUGUCCCUCUGCCUGCAGCAUGAGCCACUCUCAGGCCCAUUUCACAGCUGAGGAUCUGAGGGUCCCACGGCCACGCAGGAGGCAUGUGUGACACAGCACAGAUAACCCAGGAGGAGCCAGGCCCGGGGCUGCUCUCAGCACGGCCACCUACCUGCCCCCAGGUCUCCCACGACCACACUAUCGCAGACUCCAGCCUGAAACCCAAGGAGCCGCAUGGAAGAGCAGCCGAGACAAGCAGGGACCUCACCUGGGAACGCGGUGGGGACACUGACAGCAUGGACCUCAGCAAAUGCUGUGGACGCAGAUCCUCCCAGGAGUCCAGCUCUGACCCAAGGAAAGGGAGCUGCCACCCUUGGGCCUGCUGCGUCCUUUUCUGGACCUCCCUGCCUCCCUGCAGCCCAGCAGAAUCUCCAUCCUCUCCCUUCCUGAAGGCUCUUGGCACCCAUGCCUGGCCCUCCCGCAUGCCUCCUAUGAGAGACCCUCCCCGUACCGUUGCUGCUGAGGUGGUUCCAGGUGUCUGUCUUUGAGCAGGAAUGCGACACCCAAGUGAACAGGGUUUCUCUCUGUCCCACCCUGGCUGUAUUCCAGCAGCUAGUGCAGUGCCUGGCACGUAAUAGGUGCUCAAUAAAUGUACAGAGA